rnacentral:rRNA from 1 species
UACGGAGGAUGCAAGCGUUGUCCGGAUUUAUUGGGCGUAAAGAGCGUGUAGGCGGCCAGAUAAGUCCGCUGUGAAAUCUCGAGGCUCAACUUCGAGCUGUCGGUGGAAACUGUCUGGCUAGAGUCCGGAAGAGGAGAAUGGAAUUCCUGGUGUAGCGGUGAAAUGCGCAGAUAUCAGGAAGAACACCCGUGGCGAAGGCGGUUCUCUGGGCAGUAACUGACGCUGAGGAGCGAAAGCGUGGGGAGCGAACAGG